rnacentral:snRNA from 1 species
GGAUGUGAGGGCGAUCUGGCUGCGUCAUGUCACUCCAUUGAUCACCAGGGCUGAUUCAGCUGACCUGGCUGGCUAGGCGGGCCCCCUUCCUCCCUCACUGCUUCAGCUGCAUCCCUCCUGGAGCUAUGCACUUGGUCAAGAAGGACAAUCACUUCCAACAGAGGACUGUUGCCUUGGUCAAGGUUAUACGAGUAGCUGCGCUCCCUUGCCAGAACCUCCAAACAAGCUCUCAAAAAGACAACUACGGUUCCUCUGGGGACCUGCAAACAGGACAAUACACGGCCAGCAAGGCU